CACAGGUUUACCUGUGUGACUGCGUACCUUUUGUAUAAUGGGUCAGCGACUUAUAUUCUGUAGCAAGGUUAACCGAAUAGGGGAGCCGCAGGGAAACCGAGUCUUAAUUGGGCGUUAAGUUGCAGGGUAUAGACCCGAAACCCGGUGAUCUAGCCAUGGGCAGGUUGAAGGUUGGGUAACACUAACUGGAGGACCGAACCGACUAAUGUUGAAAAAUUAGCGGAUGACCUGUGGCUGGGGGUGAAAGGCCAAUCAAACCGGGAGAUAGCUGGUUCUCCCCGAAAGCUAUUUAGGUAGCGCCUCGUGAAUUCAUCUCCGGGGGUAGAGCACUGUUUCGGCUAGGGGGCCAUCCCGGCUUACCAACCCGAUGCAAACUGCGAAUACCGGAGAAUGUUAUCACGGGAGACACACGGCGGGUGCUAACGUCCGUCGUGAAGAGGGAAACAACCCAGACCGCCAGCUAAGGUCCCAAAGUCAUGGUUAAGUGGGAAACGAUGUGGGAAGGCCCAGACAGCCAGGAUGUUGGCUUAGAAGCAGCCAUCAUUUAAAGAAAGCGUAAUAGCUCACUGGUCGAGUCGGCCUGCGCGGAAGAUGUAACGGGGCUAAACCAUG
rnacentral:rRNA from 1 species